GAUGAACGCUGGCGGCGUGCCUAAUACAUGCAAGUCGAGCGAACGGACGAGAAGCUUGCUUUUCUGAUGUUAGCGGCGGACGGGUGAGUAACACGUGGAUAACCUACCUAUAAGACUGGGAUAACUUCGGGAAACCGGAGCUAAUACCGGAUAAUAUUUUGAACCGCAUGGUUCAAAAGUGAAAGACGGUCUUGCUGUCACUUAUAGAUGGAUCCGCGCUGCAUUAGCUAGUUGGUAAGGUAACGGCUUACCAAGGCAACGAUGCAUAGCCGACCUGAGAGGGUGAUCAGCCACACUGGAACUGAGACACGGUCCAGACUCCUACGGGAGGCAGCAGUAGGGAAUCUUCCGCAAUGGGCGAAAGCCCGACGGAGCAACGCCGCGUGAGUGAUGAAGGUCUUCGGAUCGUAAAACUCUGUUAUUAGGGAAGAACAUAUGUGUAAGUAACUGUGCACAUCUUGACGGUACCUAAUCAGAAAGCCACGGCUAACUACGUG
rnacentral:rRNA from 1 species